AGGAUGAAUGCUGGCGGCGCGCCUAACACAUGCAAGUCGAGCGGUAACAGGGGUAGUUUACUACCUGCUGACGAGCGGCGGACGGCUGAGUAACGCGUGGGAACAUGCCCCAAAGUGAGGAAUAACUGCCCGAAAGGGUAGCUAAUGCCGCAUAGUAUCUUAGGAUUAAAGGAUUUAUCCGCUUUGGGAGUGGCCCGCGUACGAUUAGAUAGUUGGUGAGGUAAUGGCUUUACCAAGUCUACGAUCGUUAACUGGUCUGAGAGGAUGACCAGUCAGACUGGAACUGAGACACGGUCCAGACUCCUACGGGAGGCAGCAGUGAGGAAUCUUCCACAAUGGGCGAAAGCCUGAUGGAGCGACGCCGCGUGCAGGAUGAAGGCCCUCGGGUUGUAAACUGCUUUUAUAAGUGAAGAAUAUGACGGUAACUUAUGAAUAAGCACCGGCUAACUACGUGCCAGCAGCCGC
rnacentral:rRNA from 1 species